rnacentral:rRNA from 1 species
GACGAACGCUGGCGGCGUGCCUAACACAUGCAAGUCGAACGGAGAUGUUGAUUUCGGUUGACGUCUUAGUGGCGAACGGUGAGUAACGCGUGAACAAUCUGACCUUAAGAGGGGGAUAACAACGAGAAAUCGUUGCUAAUACCGCAUAAGACCACAAUGCCGCAUGGCGAAGGGGUCAAAGGAGCAAUCCGCUUAAGGAGGGGUUCGCGUCCCAUUAGGUAGUAGGUGAGGUAACGGCUCACCUAGCCGACGAUGGGUAGCCGAGCUGAGAGGCUGAUCGGCCACACUGGAACUGAGACACGGUCCAGACUCCUACGGGAGGCAGCAGUGGGGAAUAUUGGGCAAUGGGCGCAAGCCUGACCCAGCAACGCCGCGUGAGGGAAGAAGGUUUUCGGAUUGUAAACCUCUGUCGCAGAUGACGAAACAAAUGACGGUAAUCUGUGAGGAAGCCCCGGCUAACUACGUGCCAGCAGCCGCGGUAAU